rnacentral:rRNA from 1 species
AGUGAACGCUGGCGGUAGGCCUAACACAUGCAAGUCGAACGGCAGCACGGUAAGAGCUUGCUCUUACGGGUGGCGAGUGGCGGACGGGUGAGGAAUACAUCGGAAUCUACUUUUUCGUGGGGGAUAACGUAGGGAAACUUACGCUAAUACCGCAUACGACCUACGGGUGAAAGCAGGGGAUCUUCGGACCUUGCGCGAUUGAAUGAGCCGAUGUCGGAUUAGCUAGUUGGCGGGGUAAAGGCCCACCAAGGCGACGAUCCGUAGCUGGUCUGAGAGGAUGAUCGGCCACACUGGAACUGAGACACGGUCCAGACUCCUACGGGAGGCAGCAGUGGGGAAUAUUGGGCAAUGGGCGCAAGCCUGACCCAGCCAUACCGCGUGGGUGAAGAAGGCCUUCGGGUUGUAAAGCCCUUUUGUUGGGAAAGAAAAGCAGCAGGUUAAUACCCCGCUGUUCUGACGGUACCCAAAGAAUAAGCACCGGCUAACUUCGUG